rnacentral:rRNA from 1 species
CAGCAGCCGCGGUAAUGCAGAGGGUGCAAGCGUUAAUCAGAAUUACUGGGCGUAAAGCGUGCGCAGGCGGUUUGUUAAGACGGAUGUGAAAUCCCCGGGCUCAACCUGGGAACUGCAUUCGUGACUGGCAAGCUAGAGUAUGGCAGAGGGGGGUGGAAUUCCACGUGUAGCAGUGAAAUGCGUAGAGAUGUGGAGGAACACCGAUGGCGAAGGCAGCCCCCUGGGCCAAUACUGACGCUCAUGCACGAAAGCGUGGGGAGCAAACAGGAUUAGAGACCCGCGUAGUCCCUGUCUCUUAUAC